UGGUGGAGUGAUUUGUCUGGUUAAUUCCGAUAACGAACGAGACCUUAACCUGCUAACUAGUUUACUGAACGCGAGUUCUGGCAAACUUCUUAGAGGGACUAUCUGUGACUAACAGAUGGAAGUUUGAGGCAAUAACA
rnacentral:rRNA from 1 species